GGUCAGAGAGCCAAGCUGACUAUCUCCCCAGACUAUGCCUAUGGUGCCACUGGGCACCCAGGCAUCAUCCCACCAAAUGCCACUCUCAUCUUUGACGUGGAAUUUCUAAAACUGGAAUGACAGGAGUGGCCUCCUCCCUGAGCUCCCCGUUCUUGGAUGUGCCACAGAGGGAUCCGGCGCCUCCAGAGGCACACACAUCUAGCCCUUCAUCAUAACUUCUAUGAGAGCUGCCUCGAUAGGAGACAAUAAUAAGAUGGAUAAAACUAGAGCACUAAAUAGACACCAGCCACAGAAAAGAUAAGGCUAAAGAGGUGGAUUCUGUACCAACUGAACCAGCAGGCAAGCAGCCAGAAAGCUGCCUGGAGCCAUUUCUGACUGCAAACUCUUGACUAUGUUCUCUUAAACCUCAUUUCUGUACUUCUACAACACUUUUCUUCAUGCCUACCUGUGCACCCAACUUAUUUUUCUUUCUUCCUUACAGGUAUGUCUGUGUCUUGCUCAUCUGUUUCCCUUAUAAUGUCUGGCUCAAUGCUUUCCAAAAAGUCAACGUCCAAUAAAUAUUUGUUGAAUUGAAAAACUGUAAUUUUUGCCAAGAAAAUGUCUUUUUAUCUUUGAAAAAUUGAUUCAGUUCAGUUCAGUUCAGUCCAGUUCAGUCACUCAGUCGUGUCCGACUCUGCGACCCCAUGAAUUGCAGCACGCGAGCCUCCUUGUCCAUCACCAACUCCCGG
ensembl:lncRNA